rnacentral:lncRNA from 1 species
CGAAGACAUGUUGGGGCAAGUGUGGCACCCGGCAAAUGCCAGGACCCCUGGACUGGUGGUACGUAAAAAGCACUAUCCGAAUCGUGGCCGAUGCCAGAGCCGCCUCGACUGGCACCAAUCCGACCGUGGCCGUUGCCAGCCUCGCCUGGCACCUGUGCGGGUGGCAUGUAAAAAGCACCCACUACACUCUCGGAGUGGUUGGCGUUAGGAAGGGCAUCCAGCUGUAGAAACAUUGCCAGAUAAGACUGGAGUCUGGUGCAGCCUUCGGGCUUCCCAGAUCCCCGGUCGAACCGUCCAACCCAUGCUGGCAUGGAGAACGGACGUUAAACGAUGAUGAUGAUAAGAAAUUAAUUCAUUAAGUUUACCAAAUUAUAUACGUCUGUAAAAAAAAAAGUUUCACAAAUUAUAUACGUUCGCGUUUGUGUAAAAAAAAUUAUUAACCAAGUUUUAUAAAUUAUUUACUUUGUUCAAAAAAUAUUAUUAAUAUUAAUUAAUUUUCAAGAAUUAUUUAAUUUAUAUAAUUAAUUCAUUAAUUUUAUUCUGUAAAAUAGUAAUUAAUUCAUUUCUCUGUAAAUCCGCGAGGAAAGCGACUAUGUAAUUUUUUUGUGUAAAAUUGAAAAUGUUAUAUAUACACACACACAUAUUUUUAGUGAAAUACAACACCUUGGGGGGGUUUAAUGAGCACGCGCGAAUUCUGCACUGCGCAUGCGCAAGUCACCUCGUAGGAUAUCGAGUAUCGAGUACCUACGUCUGGCGCGCGCGCAAAUUCGCGUGUGCAAAACCGGGACCACGACAAUUGACAAGUACCCAUUUCUGAUGAAACUACAGGAGUAGUUGAAAGCGCUAAUAUGAAGAAAUAACGUAAAUAUUUUUACAACCAUCCAGCAUUCUGAACACCUAUUUUCUUUCAUAAAUCUGUACAUCACCCCCAAUACUUCUAACACACACAUAUUUAUAUAUAAUGUGUGUGUUAACUAAAGUUCGUUCUUGUGUUGUACAACGGAGGUAGAUAUAUCCAAAAAUUGUCUUGCGUUUCUUGAAAGUUACACACAAAAUUCACCCGAUACAACGGAGCUAUAUCCAACUAAUGAAUCCUCUGGCGACAUCGGCAAAUGAAAAAAAUUAAAUUUCCGGAAAUUGUCGAACACUUAGAUACAUUUUCAAAUGCUGAUACAUGGCUAUCAUCUCCCAAGGAUUGCUAGUCUUUUCAAGUGCUUGAUAUUAAAACUGCUUGUUAUGAAAAACUUAUUUAGUUUUAAUUUACCCUACGCGGCAAUUUUGCUAGAACAGUCUUCAUAUGUUGAAUGACUGUGUAUAUUAAUUGCUAAAUUAUAUUAGGCAAAGUGUUUAUACACUAGUGUAUGCCAUGUAUUUGGUGUAUUGUAUAAACCUAUGCCACAGUCGUUCUUAUACCCGUACGUCGUGUAAAUAAAAGCAUCAAACUGUUAUACUUAAACGAAUAUUCUUUUAUUUUUCAGAUAUUGACAAUAUCAGCGGUUGGUGACGACCGAGUAUACAGAAAAGGUGAAUGUAAAUAAAAAAAAAAACUAUUGGGUUGGCAAGAAGGUAGUUUCGUUUUUCGCAAAUUAUCAUCAUAGAAUUAGGAUAUUUUUUCAAUGACUUUGAUUUCGUUAUGAUUUUCCCUUUUGACAUUUGAUAGCCGUUACUUGCUUUAGAAGCAAAUUGCGCGUAAUUUUGUUUACAACUGUUCAACAUGGAACGCAAAAACGAACAUUUUCGCCAUAUUUUGCUUUUUUAUUUCCGUAAAGGGGUGAAAGCAGCUGAGGCUCACAAAAAGAUAUGUGAAGUUUAUGGUGUUGAUUGCUUAACAGAACGCACAUGUCAGAAAUGGUUUAAAAAAUUCCGUUCUGGAGAUUUUUCACUCAAAGAUGACCAGCGUUCUGGUCGACCUACUGAAGUUGAUGAUGACCGAAUCAAAGCUAUAAUUGAAUCUGAUUGUCAUAUAACUGUGCGAGAGAUUGCAGAUAGAUUGAAUGUAUCACAUACAACAAUUGAAAAUCACUUAAAAUGUCUUGGAUUCGUUAAGAAACUCGAAAUUUGGGUUCCUCAUGAAUUGAAAGAGAUUCACUUAACACAACGAAUCAAUAUUUGUGAUAUGCAUCUCAAACGCAAUGAAAUCGACCUUUUAUUAAAACGAAUCAUAACUGGUAAUGUAAAAUCGGUUGUCUACAAUAACAUCAAUUCAAAACGAUCAUGGUCCAAGCAUAAACCAACACAAACCACAUCGAAAGCUGUAAUGAAUCAAAAAAAGGUCAUGCUGUCAAUUUGGUGGGAUUACAAAGGUGUUGUGUAUUUUGAACUGCUUCCAAGGAACCAAACAAUUAAUUCAGAUGUUUACUGUCAACAACUAGUGAAACUGGAGAAAGCAAUCGAAGAAAAACGGCCAGAAUUGGCAAAUGGUAAAGGAAUCAUAUUCCACCAUGGCAAUGCUAGACUACACAUGUCUUUGCCAACUCGUGAAAAAUUAUUAGAGCUUGGUUGGGAAGUGAUGUCACAUCCACCAUAUAGCCCUGACCUGGCACCAUCAGAUUAUCAUUUAUUUCGAAGUCUGCAAAAUUCUUUGAAUGAUAAUAUUUUCAAUAAUGAUGAUGACCUGAAAUCGCACUUGCUUGAGUUUUUGGCUGAUAAGGACCAGAAGUUCUAUGAGUGCGGAAUCAUGAAGUUGCCAGAAAGAUGGCAAAAGGUCAUCGAUCGAAAUGGAAAAUAUAUAAUUGAUUAAAAAGAGUAAAAUGUGUAUUAAACGAAUAUGAGAACAAUCGAUUAUAGUGAAAUUUGCGCCAACGAACCGAUUAUAAUGAAAUUUGGGGGAAAUUUUUUUCCCAAGGGUGUGGGAGAGGACGAGACAUUUAGGAAUUAUUUUUUUGAGUCUAACGGAAAAGGGUUUGAAAAUAUAAUUUUUAGAUUUAUUUUUCGUCUGAGUAAUAGAUAAAGAUUUUAACAAAGAUCUCAUGUAUCAUGGUAAGAUAAACUGAUUCAUAUGGUAAAUCGUUCAGUUUACUUUCGUAAAAAAAAAGAAAGCAAAGGGACAUAAAUACAACUGAUUUCUAACUUUGCUUAUCUACCUAUCAUUUCUUACUGCUUUGUUUCAAGAUAUAAACAGGAAUUGAAAAAACAAAAAAACUAAUAUAAAAGUUAUUGUCAACAACACGUUCUGAUUUGACGAACGAUUACGGUGUUGAAUAUGGUUUCACUUAGGAAAAGGGCAAUUUACCUGCUGUUUUUAGCGCAUCUCACGACCAUCUGAUGCCUUGUUUAAUAUUUUCGAUUAAUUACAAGUUCUCUCGGAUUCCAAUAAGCAAGUUAAGUCUAAUGGGAAUAGGUAGAGUGGUAUUGAGUGUUUUACAGUAUAAAAAAUGCAAAAACACCAUUAGGGUAAGAAGAGUUGUAUUGAAUGUUUAAAAUCAGUUCAUUGGUGCAAAUUUUGGUCCUCGUAUUCGUUUGAUACACUUUCAACACCCUUUUUCUUGUUUUGUUGACCAGGUGUUAAACAUAAACCAAAAAACGACUUGUUUCACACAAAAAAACCGAAGUUACUUUCUUGCCAACCUACAGUUUUCCUGGUCAAUUUUUUCCAGAUAUAAUCAAUUAAAAGCUAUGCAAGCCCAACUAUUUAUGCUAGUUUCAAUUAAA